rnacentral:rRNA from 1 species
CACGUAGGGGGCGAGCGUUGUCCGGAUUUAUUGGGCGUAAAGAGCGCGUAGGCGGCCCGGAAAGUCGGAUGUGAAAACCCGGGGCUCAACCCCGGGCCUGCAUCCGAUACUCCCGGGCUGGAGGCAGGUAGGGGAGAUCGGAAUUCCUGGUGUAGCGGUGAAAUGCGCAGAUAUCAGGAGGAACACCGGUGGCGAAGGCGGAUCUCUGGGCCUGUCCUGACGCUGAGGCGCGAAAGCUAGGGGAGCGAACAGG